UAGGAAUCGCAUUUGAAACUGACAAGCUAGAGUACUGUAGAGGGGGGGUAGAAUUUCAGGUGUAGCGGUGAAAUGCGUAGAGAUCUGAAGGAAUACCGGUGGNGAAGGCGGCCCCCUGGACAGAUACUGACACUCAGAUGCGAAAGCGUAGGGAGCAAACAGGAUUAGAUACCCUGGUAGUCCACGCCGUAAACGAUGUCUACUUGGAGGUUGUGACCUAGAGUCGUGGCUUUCGGAGCUAACGCGUUAAGUAGACCGCCUGGGGAGUACGGUCGCAAGAUUAAAACUCAAAUGAAUUGACGGGGGCCCGCACAAGCGGUGGAGCAUGUGGUUUAAUUCGAUGCAACGCGAANAANNUUACCUACUCUUGACAUCCAGAGAAUCUAGCGGAGACGCUGGAGUGCCUUCGGGAACUCUGAGACAGGUGCUGCAUGGCUGUCGUCAGCUCGUGUUGUGAAAUGUUGGGUUAAGUCCCGCAACGAGCGCAACCCUUAUCCUUGUUUGCCAGCACGUAAUGGUGGGAACUCCAGGGAGACUGCCGGUGAUAAACCGGAGGAAGGUGGGGACGACNNCAAGUCAUCAUGGCCCUUACGAGUAGGGCUACACACGUGCUACAANGGCGUAUACAGAGGGCAGCGAUACCGCGAGGUGGAGCGAAUCUCACAAAGUACGUCGUAGUCCGGAUNGGA
rnacentral:rRNA from 1 species